AACGCUAGCUACAGGCUUAACACAUGCAAGUCGAGGGGAAACGACAUCGAAAGCUUGCUUUUGAUGGGCGUCGACCGGCGCACGGGUGAGUAACGCGUAUCCAACCUGCCCACCACUUGGGGAUAACCUUGCGAAAGUAAGACUAAUACCCAAUGAUAUCCCACGAAGGCAUCCGAAUGGGAUUAAAGAUUUAUCGGUGAUGGAUGGGGAUGCGUCUGAUUAGCUUGUCGGCGGGGUAACGGCCCACCAAGGCUACGAUCAGUAGGGGUUCUGAGAGGAAGGUCCCCCACAUUGGAACUGAGACACGGUCCAAACUCCUACGGGAGGCAGCAGUGAGGAAUAUUGGUCAAUGGGCAAGAGCCUGAACCAGCCAAGUAGCGUGCAGGACGACGGCCCUAUGGGUUGUAAACUGCUUUUAUAAGGGAAUAAAGUGAGUCUCGUGAGACUUUUUGCAUGUACCUUAUGAAUAAGGACCGGCUAAUUCCGUGCCAGCAGCCGCGGUAAUACGGAAGGUCCGGGCGUUAUCCGGAUUUAUUGGGUUUAAAGGGAGCGUAGGCCGGAGAUUAAGCGUGUUGUGAAAUGUAGACGCUCAACGUCUGCACUGCAGCGCGAACUGGUUUCCUUGAGUACGCGCAAAGUGGGCGGAAUUCGUGGUGUAGCGGUGAAAUGCUUAGAUAUCACGAAGAACUCCGAUUG
rnacentral:rRNA from 1 species